UAACACUGUCCACUUUCGAUCUUGAAACCCCUUGCCUGCCUGAUCGCCUUACUCUCAAGGGAAGCCACUUUUCUCUUCAGAUUGUCAACAACUUUCUCGUGGUCCCUUUUCAGUUGAUUCAAGUAUUGGCGACGCUCUGUCGCUCUUGUACCCCAUUGUGCUUUGAGCCCUUCCAUGACACUCUCGGAUUUUUCUAUCUCACCCGGUACUCCCUAACUUCAUUUCUUAUCCAUUUUAUUAAUCAUUCAUCUAAUCGAC
rnacentral:lncRNA from 1 species